AAUGAACGUUGGCGGCGUGGAUUAGGCAUGCAAGUCGUGCGCGAGUAGUUUGGUGCUUGCAUUAAACUACAAAAGCGGCGAAAGGGUGAGUAACGCGUAGUUACCUGCCUCGAGGUCUGGAAUAGCUUCGGGAAACUGAAGGUAAUGCCAGAUAAUAUCUCCGGAUCAAAGGUGUGAUUCCGCCUCGAGAGGGGACUGCGUCCUACUAGCUAGUUGGUGGGGUAAUGGCCUACCAAGGCGACGAUGGGUACCGGGCGUGAGAGCGUGACCCGGCACACUGGGACUGAGACACUGCCCAGACACCUACGGGUGGCUGCAGUCGAGAAUCUUCGGCAAUGGGCGCAAGCCUGACCGAGCGACGCCGCGUGCGGGAUGAAGGCCUUCGGGUUGUAAACCGCUGUCGUAGAGGAGGAAGGCUCUGUGAAGAGCAGGGUUUGACCUAUUCUAGGAGGAAGUCCGGGCUAAGUUCGUGCCAGCCGCCGCCGUAACAC
rnacentral:rRNA from 1 species